UACGUAGGGUGCAAGCGUUGUCCGGAAUUAUUGGGCGUAAAGAGCUCGUAGGCGGCCUGUCGCGUCGGCCGUGAAAACCUGGGGCUCAACUCUGGGCGUGCGGUCGAUACGGGCAUCACUUGAGUUCGGCAGGGGAGACUGGAAUUCCUGGUGUAGCGGUGAAAUGCGCAGAUAUCAGGAGGAACACCGGUGGCGAAGGCGGGUCUCUGGGCCGAUACUGACGCUGAGGAGCGAAAGCAUGGGUAGCGAACAGG
rnacentral:rRNA from 1 species